GUCAGCUUAAUUGAAAUUAUUAUCUUAGCCUUUAAGAUGAAAAGGGGAAUCCGGUUAGAUUCCGGAGCUGUGCCGCAACUGUAAAGCCAGAGGACCUAAUCUUUAAGGUUUUUAUUU
rfam:Microgenomates (Beckwithbacteria) bacterium GW2011_GWC2_47_9 TY17_C0041, whole genome shotgun sequence.